rnacentral:rRNA from 1 species
UAGGUGGGCCUGGCGACGGUUGUCCAGGUUCAAGUACGUAGGCGGGUGGUUUAGGUAAAUCCGGACCGCUACUAACGCUGAGAUACGAUGUCGAGCUACUACGGUAGUGAAGUCAUUGAUGCCAUGCUUCCAGGAAAAGCCUCUAAGCUUCAGAUUGUAAGGAAUCGUACCCCAAACCGACACAGGUGGUCGGGUAGAGAAUACCAAGGCGCUUGAGAGAACUCGGGUGAAGGAACUAGGCAAAAUGGUACCGUAACUUCGGGAGAAGGUACGCUCUUAUCAGUGAAGUCCCUUGCGGAUGGAGCAGACGAGAGUCGCAGAUACCAGGUGGCUGCAACUGUUUAUUAAAAACACAGCACUGUGCAAAAUCGUAAGAUGACGUAUACGGUGUGACGCCUGCCCGGUGCCGGAAGGUUAAUUGAUGGGGUUAGACUUCGGUCGAAGCUCUUGAUCGAAGCCCCGGUAAACGGCGGCCGUAACUAUAACGGUCCUAAGGUAGCGAAAUUCCUUGUCGGGUAAGUUCCGACCUGCACGAAUGGCGUAAUGAUGGCCACGCUGUCUCCACCCGAGACUCAGUGAAAUUGAAAUCGCUGUGAAGAUGCAGUGUACCCGCGGCUAGACGGAAAGACCCCGUGAACCUUUACUACAGCUUGGCACUGAACAUUGAACCUACAUGUGUAGGAUAGGUGGGAGACUUUGAAACCGCGUCGCUAGAUGUGGUGGAGUCGUCCUUGAAAUACCACCCUUGUAGUUUUGAUGUUCUAACGUUGGUCCCUGAAUCGGGAUUACGGACAGUGCCUGGUGGGUAGUUUGACUGGGGCGGUCUCCUCCCAAAGAGUAACGGAGGAGCACGAAGGUGGGCUAAACACGGUUGGACAUCGUGUGGUUAGUGCAAUGGCAUAAGCCCGCUUGACUGCGAGAAUGACAAUUCGAGCAGGUGCGAAAGCAGGUCAUAGUGAUCCGGUGGUUCUGAAUGGAAGGGCCAUCGCUCAACGGAUAAAAGGUACUCCGGGGAUAACAGGCUGAUACCGCCCAAGAGUUCAUAUCGACGGCGGUGUUUGGCACCUCGAUGUCGGCUCAUCACAUCCUGGGGCUGAAGUCGGUCCCAAGGGUAUGGCUGUUCGCCAUUUAAAGUGGUACGCGAGCUGGGUUUAGAACGUCGUGAGACAGUUCGGUCCCUAUCUGCCGUGGGCGUUGGAAAAUUGAAAGGGGCUGCUCCUAGUACGAGAGGACCGGAGUGGACGAACCUCUGGUGUUCGGGUUGUCAUGCCAAUGGCAUUGCCCGGUAGCUAAGUUCGGAAUCGAUAACCGCUGAAAGCAUCUAAGCGGGAAGCGAGCCUUGAGAUGAGUUUUCCCUGACGCUUUAAGCGUCCUAAAGGGUUGUCGUAGACUACGACGUUGAUAGGCAGGGUGUGUAAGUGCUGCGAGGCAUUGAGCUAACCUGUACUAAUUGCCCGUGAGGCUUAACCAUACAACACCCAAGGGGUUU